CUGAGGAGAUUUGUGUUGUUUUCCCCCCUCAGCAGACACCUGGAGAGGGGUUCGGGUCCCGCAAAACCAGAAACGGAAACUUAAUCGGUUCUCUGUCACCGAAAAGACGGGAAUUAGUCACUUUUGUGUUUGUGAAGAACACACCACCGAGCAGCGACAGAAAAACCCCAACUCCCGGCUUUCACUCGUCUCUCGAGUAGUUUUUCUUUUAUAUGUGUGUAUAUCUUUGUACCGAGCAAAACACACGUUUUCAGACGUUUCCGCCAUUUUCAAAAGUGGACUUGUGUCACGGGUAGUGUUUCCACGUCGUCGGUUGUGUUCGUGGGGGAAAGUUAACGCGUUGUUAAACGGCGGUUUUAACGUCAGAACUCCGGGUUAGUUUGGAAGGAACCGCGCGUGAGGGAGUUCUGGAUUUUACCGGAUCUUAACGGAAUCUUGGAGAACUUUGGGCUACACAGACUUGUAGAGGAACGCACACACACACACACACACACACACACGGAGUCGACUUCAUAGCGUUUCUUUCUACUGAGGCAACAACAACAACAUUGUCAGGUUUUUUUUUUUUCACCUCACAGCAAAAUGAGCCGUUAUUUUGUCCGGCUUUACACGGACUAGCUAAGCUAACCUUCCCCCGCUUUAGUUGUUUAUUUUUUCCCCCCUUCUUUUUUCUUUCUCUCAGCUAAUUAUUUGUCUUCCUCAGCUGUGCCUCAGGGGUGACGAGGCCCCUCGGGGAGCUGCUUGCGGUGUCAAAUCUCUGCUCGUGCUAACGCAUAGCCGCGCGCGCGGGCACGGAGACGCGCGUGGUACGCGGCGCGUGAGCACUCUCCUGAAGAAGACGCGCUGUGAAAGAGAGAGAGAGAGAGGCGCGCGGCGGUAUCAGGAGCUGGAUACCUGUUAACUUUUCUGUCUGCGUGCGUGCGUGCGCGUGUGUGUAUGUGUGGUUGAGAGUGUGUGGCUCGUAGCCGCGGGAAGAGCUUCGUGGUCACUGUUCGGCAUUCCGUAAUGGACGCGAAAGCCUUCGGUCAAGUUUUUCACCGUCCUGUUCUUGCGGUAUCUUGCACAGGCUCGGAUACCGGACUGUAACCGAGUCGCAACCGGAAUAUCUCGGAGGCGAACAGCGUUCAUUUAUCGCCAAGCGGAUUUAUACAGGACAAGUACGAUGUCAUUUGCACGGGUCUGCUUGGGAGCUCUGCUGCUGUGGACGAUUGUUUCUGAUGGUUGACCCCGACGUGUGACCUCUGCACAGACCCGAUACCAGGUGAACCCUCGCCACCUUAUUGUGAAAAAUAGGAGGAAAAGGUGGUGUUAUUUUUUCCCCAACCUCACAUAUGGACAGACCUAAUUUUCUAAACGGCGUGAAUAUCUGUUAGCGCGAUACUAACUACAUCCCGACGGUAUCGAUUUAGAAGAAUCCUUAUAUUGAACACGAUGUUCCCUUUCAUGACUCCUAGCUUGGAGAUGUGUUUGUCGUUGCUUGCCGUAGCUGUACGUGUAAUCUCAACGUUUAAAAGAAUACAUUUGGAUAUUCGUCUGCUAAAUUACUCGGCGUUAUAACUGAAUAGAUAAAGCUUGUCCUUUACCAUAUUUCGAGUGACGGUAGUGAUGGUGCUAACGUUUGCUUGCGGUGAAACGGAGGUUAAUACUUGUUUAGCUACGUUAGCAAACUCAAAGCGACAGUAUUUACAGAUGAGACUGACCUGCACUUGAAGCCCCGAUUUCUGGUCGGUAAUUUUAUGACGUUUUCGCCGUUCUCUUUACGUGCCCUUUCCUUCUCUGUGCAGCGACGACUGUGUUCCGAACCGUUCGCCGGAGCUGAGGAGAAUGGUAGCGUUGCAAGUCGAGACUAACAGGUUCAUGAUGUAUCAUCGAUUUAUUAUCAAGUCAGAAAGGAUCUCUUGAACGCAUAGGACACGCAAUAAUAUAAAAAUAAAAGUAAAAUAAAUAAAAAAAAACGGCAAGGUAGCGGGCCAAAUACGUUGGCCAGUCCGGGCCUGUGUGGAGCCCAAGUAGGAGCUCGGAGUAAUAAAGCAAUGGCACUGGCAGCCUCUAGCUGGAGCAUUGUUCAUGCUGCUCCUGAUUUGCAGUUAAAGGUGUUUUUUAUUUUUUGGAAGGCUGGUUUCCUCAGUCAUGGUGUGACUGGAGACCCUAUACCCUAUCCAAACCACACGCACACACACAUACUGCAGGUGCUGGGGCUUAAUACCCUUUCUUCAGAAAGCUGUUUACAAGAAUUGCCAUUUGUAAGGGGCGGGGGGGGAUUUUCUAAUCACAAUCGUUCCAUUUGUGCCAAGGAUGAAUGUUCUUUUCUCAGGGCCUAAUGGCAUUAGAUGAACGUACUGUUCCAUCACUAAAAUGUCCUCCUUUUAAGUAUUAGAUUCAUCUCACGUCAUGCAAGAUAAACGGGCUCUCUGAAGGCAACUUGCCUGACCCGCCCGUCUACCCAUCAAGCCUUGGAGAGAGGCACAUCCCGAUGAUGUCUAUGGAUUACGGACGUCACGCAGAUUUUUAUUGAUUGAUUUAUUUAUUUUUACAUUUCAGUAUAGACUGGAGCUUUGAUGAAGACAAAAUGGCUGGCGCGGGAAAAACUCCUAUUCCGAGUCAUGUAACUCGUAUUUCCUGCUCUCGCUUGUGCUCUUAGAUGUGUACCCUUCAGCAGCGUAAGAUUAGCGUCUUGACAAAACAGAAGCUUUAUUAAUAAGCGAGUUGUCGUUAGCUGCAGGAAAACGACACGAGAAGAUGAGAGAUUUUUGUUCGUCAGCAAAAUAUCUUUGAGGCUAGUAAUUAAGGAGCUGUGAGAACUUACCGAAACGGGAACACAAAUGGAUUAGCCGGGGAGAAAAGUUUUCCUCACGGAGCUGAAGUAUCGUUAUCCUGCUUCAACCUCAAAGAGACACUUGCUUUUAACUCUGUGUUCGAAGAUAAUUGCGCAGUGAUAAAGAAGGCGAUAUUCUGUUUACAGCGCUAGUAGACUGCACAGACGUUGCCCAAUUAGACCGCUUUCUCGUGUCAAGGUCUCAGAAUUGUUCCGCAUGAUCACUGAAUGUUUUGCUUCCCUAUGAGAGUCACUACAGUGGCAUCCGUGGACAGUGGUCCGAUUCGAGUCCUUCCAGCAUGCUUCAACUGCUUAUGCGGGGCAAAAAUCUGUCCGCUAGCCCGCCGGGCAUGUGCGAUAUAACCGUCAGUACGUUUACACGGACGACGAUAAUCCGACAUUAACCCGAUUAAGACGAUACUCUGAUUAAGAACCCACCAUGUAAACGGCGAUUUUUGAUGACCUUAAUCUGAUCAAAGUCACACUCGGAGUAAACACAAACGGAAUUAAGACGUGUGGAGCGUUCAUGUUUUAGUCGCAUUGUCGACGUGCGUUACAGACACGUACACACCUUAAUCACGCUAUUAACGCCGUGUGAGAGUUUUCACCGCAUUUUGUGACAGGACACGUGCGCACACGGCAGCGCUCGACCGUCUGACGGCAAACAAGAGAGCACGGCCGCGUCCCAAUCCGCGUACUUACCUACUAUAUAGUAGGAGAAAUACAUGUAUGUCGGCUGCUAUAUAGACGGUAAGAACGCGGUUUGGGACGCAGCCCACGGCUUCAAGCAGUCGUCUAUCUGCACGUACAGCACGACUGAUAAUUAACCGCACCCAAAACUGUAUACGGUCCCAUAACGAAGACCAACUGUGAAAUUCCGGAGGGACGACGGACAGCGUGGACGUAACGGGGACGCGAUGACGUGUGACGUUAAUCGCUCUAUGUUCUAUAACAUGUAAAACGGGAACACGAGAGGAAUCUUCUAAACGUGACUCAUGUAAACGCCUUAAUCACAACACUGUCUUAUUCAGAAUAAGGUCCGUAAUUAGAUUACCGCUGUCCGUGUAAACGUAGUCCUUGUUAUAUCCAGUGACGUUUACUGCAGGUUAUAUUAGAUUACCAGACUCGCCAACCGUUAAGUAUUUUGAAGAGGAGUCCACGUGUAUGAGUGAUCACUCAAAAAUAUGCCAAGAGUAGUCUUUCCCUUUAUAGUAAUAUGAGAGAUGAGCCAACUGACAUGUAAAUCUGGAACGAUUUGCUCAGGUGCUAUGAACCUGUCAUGGUAAAUAGAGAAGAAUAAUUAACGUGAAGUAAAAUCUAUUGAUGUACGUUCAUCUUGGCUAACGUUAGACAAGUAUAUAUUUAGCGUCAAUUUACUAUAAUUAUUAGGGAUUUAAAACAUCUCGGCCAAAAAGCUCUUUCGGUUUCUCGUCGAAGGAGAAAAGAGGAUUUUUGACCCCAGAAAUUGAUUUGGGCUGACAAUGAAGUGUCAAAACUGUUAAAAUAUUAAUGGGGAUGAUAAUUAUAAUGUGUUUUUUGUUGUUGUUGUUUUGUUUUGACUGGCACUCAGUACUUGUUUUGCUCACUGCUGAGUAGCAUUAACGGAGAAAAUGUCGGCCGGGUGAACAUUAUACAACAGAGGUCUGGAAAGGAUUGCAUCGGAUUAAUUUUUUUAAAAUACCGAUUACUGUACAUCACUGCAGAACCACUUAAAAGAAUCCUCCGUGCAACUGUUUUCAAGGUUGCCAAAGUUCCCAACUGCACAGCUGACUAUGUUGUUAUCCUCCCCUCCUCUCUUUUAAAAGUGGAAUGGUGGAAAUGCCCCUCUUCCUCUCCUGGAUGAUUAAAAUGUUUAUUGCGAUAUGUUAAAAUGGAUAAUUGCAUCCGCGCAGUCCCAGGGUUGGGUUUCCCCAGACACCUAAUUGACUAGGCGAAGCACGCCAAACUAGUUAGGUAGUUGAGUGCACUAAUACAGCCUAGUCAGUCUGUCUAGUGCAAACCGAUGUGCGUAGUGCCUGUAAGGAUUUAGAAAGAGUAGCAUCGAGGUACAUCUCUCACGAGGGAAGAGUCCAAGCACAUGCAGAACUUCUUUAUUAAAGACAACACGGGGAACAGGCUCGAGAAAACAAACACGAGGAGUAGACACGCUAGGAACCGGGAUUAAUAAACUUAAUAAACUUGAAAUUAAACACUAAGAAAAAUAUAAAUAAAUAAAAAAACAGUGCAAAUAGCACAAGCAUAACAAGAUAUUAAAACCAGAACUCAAACAUAACCUGAUGAGAGGUAAUGCUCCAGCAACUAAGGAAGAAACGCAGGGAACUUCAAGAGCGCGCUAGCCAAUCGGGGAAAUGCGAAACACAGGAGUAAUGUUACAUAGGCGGAGUCGGAAAUCGCAUACCGUGACGGUACGUACUAUCCGGUAUGCGUGUGUAGUACGAAGACAAUCCCAGACAUACUACUUCCGCCAUGUUGGCAUUGUCAUGUGACCUUCGACGUCAUCAACAACACGUUAAAAUUCCACCAGAUUAAAGCAACCGCGCUAGGUGCAAAAUGCCCACCAGGAACGUUAACUGAAUUAGUCAUUUAAUGUGGGCGGGGUUAACAGGCUGAGGUUAAUUUGUUGCCGUUAGGCUGGCCAGCAAAGGCAUGAUUGAGAUCACAAAAAAAGGUUUCAAACGCUAUUUUCUUGUUUAAACCUUCGAGUUCACGUUUUAUUCGGGUAUUGUUAAACAAGUCCCGUUUCAGCAAGGUCGUCUUCCACGAUUGUGGUUGGUUUUUUUUUUUUGGUUUUUUUCCCCGGGCUCGUCCGCACCAUUCCCGUUGCAUUAUGGGAUUUUUGACUCGCGUGGUGUCCAUCAUUUGCAAGGAGCAAAAUCUCGCCGGAAGCAGUACGCCAUCCGGGUAUUUCUCACCUACAGUUUCUCGUCUGCUGAGAAUUCGGACAUACUACCUCUUCGGAGUACUGCUUUUUGCCUAGUGUAUAGUGUAGUAGGGUGGUAUGCGAUUUCGGCUGCAGCCACUGAAAAGGUGGGGGCAACAGAGGAAGAAGUUCUACAUGGGCAACCGUGGUGCCCUCUAGUGGUGUAAGGCGGAAUUGCCUCAGGGGGCCGUGACGGCAUCACAUCACAAGAACAUGUUGCUUCAGUGUACAUAUGGAAUUAGGUAGGUAGGGUUUUGUCGUUCUCUGGUUGUUGAAAUGUUGGUGACCACGAGUUUUCUGGGCCUACUUGUCCACGGUGCAACUUGUAAAUAAAAGAGCCUGGACAUGUCAUUGUCUUGUCUUGGGAGUCCGGGCUAGUGAUCUGUCCACUCCUGCAUUACCAGUCCUUCUACUCUGAAGGCUAACAUGCUGCUGAUUCCAUCUCGAUCUCGAAAAAUCACGAUUUUCACGUGCACUGUAGAAAAGCAUGUUCAUAACCCAAGUUAUCCUUGGCUUCUUAUUCUUACGUGAGUACCGUCUGCACUCCUGCUAUUCAAAUGAGUUGCCUCUGCUAAGCAGAAUUCAGGUUGAGUGUGAAUUAAGUCACAUUUGGGCCUCCUUUGUCGAUAUCCUCAGGAUGAAACGGUCCCUGUGGCAGUUGCGGUGGCCAGCAGAGCAGAAUGGACCACUGCGGCUUAAGCAGUCGACAUGAGUCAUUAGUCUUGUCUGUUGGGCUUCCCGACUGUUGCUUGGCUGCUUUUGAAAAAUCCUCCAGCUCGCGCUAGUGAUGAAUAGUGCAGGGCUUGGAGCUACUGAGUGCCAGGCCAGUUCAGACACCGUCUGACCGGAGGAGGAUGUAACCUCGUGCAAAGGAAACAGUAGUAGGUUGGAAGUAUUUUGUAAGCAAAGAAAACAUUUGCUCGACAUGCAGAUCACAGGUUUAGUGAUGCAAGAGGAGAGCUGUUUUUCUAUCAGGCUCUUACAUAUGCCAUUAGAAGGCUUGUAUUUCUGAGUUUUGCAGAACGAAGUGCGUUUUCCAAUGAAAGUGCACCCAUACCGUAUUGUCACUGAUAUUUACAUCAAUUAAGUUUCUUUUCUUUUCCCUUCAACUAUAGACUAGGGUUGCUGUUCCUUGCACUACUGAGAGAAACGGUAUGUUUGGUAAAAUCUUGGCUUGGAGACCUGCUCUUAUUGGUGGAAAAUAACACGGUUACCUUUCUUGAGCCUCUUUAAGUCGUUUUUUUUUUUUUUUUUGAUAGAUUCUGCCCAAACCCUUCACGUUAUUUUAGAAUGAACUAAGAAUUUUUAGGAACUUUAGAAACAAAGAGUGAUUAGUAUGAAGAACGUGUAAGAGACAGGACCGCCAUAUAUAGUUUUUCGUAAUAUCUCCAGUAAAAUUCGAUUUGCCGGCGUCGUAUUGUACCAAACCAACUUACUUCGGCUUGGGUUCAUUUAUAACUUCCAACUUCUUCGCCGCUCCAACUUGGAGUAGGUCCCUGUAAUAAUCCAUGCAGCAUUUCCAGUGGAAUAGCAGUGGUCCCUUGCUCACAGAGAGAUUUUCUAGCUGGACUCACUUCUACAGAGUCGAUGACUAUUUCAACCAAUAAUUGAAGUAUAAAGACUUUGGUUAAAGGUAUAGACCAAUCUGGCAGUCAGUAAAGAAGUUUGCUUGUUAUAUAUUACUUAUUAUAUUCCACAGAACAAGACUCGUGCCUCAUGUCCAGCUGGAAUUAAGUUACAGUUCCACCUUCUUUAAAAUUGUGUGUGAUGUGACUUCAUUCACAUGGUAAUGAUGAAGUGCAGGGAUUUACUCUCAGAAAUGAACCACGCUCGUCUUUGUGCCUGAAGAAUUUACCUUGAAAUCAAUAUUGUUCAAAUGACUGUCAGCAAAAUGAAGCACAGGGAUUUGCAUCUAAAGCUCUCCUCCAGCAUUUCAAGGUCCACACUGCGGCCUUUAAACUAAUUUGAGCCGAGGCACGUGGUGACUUUUAUGUUGUGUGUAUCGAAGAUGAUGAUUAUCAUCGUGUGCAGUGGUGAAAUUCUAUCGAGGAGAACUUGAGAACUCAAGCUGGCGUUCAACUCCGUAAUACAACAGUGGCCUAGGUAGUGUAUGUCACUUGUUUUUUUUUUUUUUGGUACAACGUGUUCUUGCUUCACAAGCUCUGCAGGUGUUUUCUAUCAAAACGCCAAGGCUCCGGAUGGGACUUUGUUUAUCCAAGUCCUGUUUGUGAGUACUGGUACGUAUAAAUGUUCUGUAUGCUCGUCAUUGCUUUUCACAGCACCUCAGAAAACUUGGCAAAGGAGGAAGCUUGUGAAGUAGGCAGAUCUGUCAGCAGACAAUACAACUUGUGAAUGUUCCUCUGACACAUUGACAUGCACACUGGCAAGCAGCCAAAAGCUGGCACGAAAUCAGCCCUACCAACCUUAAAUAUUCAAGGUAGUCAGUACGAAUCUAUUUUUAUAGAUCAUUCCCCAGACACAUUCCAUGAUUAGGCAAGACCAAUCUCCCAGGCAGUACGUUGAUGUAUCUGUAAACUUAUGACUUGUCUUGCAGCAGAACCGUCACAGCUGCUGUUCUAGAAAAUUAACCAACACCCUCUGACCGAUCAGAAUCGAGAGCUCAGUAGCAGCAUUUAUUCACCGUAACAUUAAAACCACCUGCCUGAUGUUGUGUAGGUCCUGCUUGUGCUGCCAAAAACAGCACUGACCUGUCAAGACCUCCUCCGAAGGUGUGCCGUGGUAUCUGGCACCGAGACGUUAGCAGCAGAUCCUUUAAGUCCUGUAAGUUGUGAAGUGGAGCCUCUGUGAAUCGGACUUGUUUGUCCGGCACGUCCCACAGAUACUCGAUUGGCUUGAGAUCUUGGGAAUUUGGAGGCCGAGUCAACACCUCGAACAUGUCAUGUUCCUGAAACCAUUCUUGACAAUUUUUGGCAGGGUGCAUUAUCCUGCUGAAAGAGGCCACUGACGUUAGGGAAUACCGUUGCCCAUGACGGGGCGUUCAUAAGUCUGCAACAAUGUUUAGGUGGGUGGUAUGUGUCAAAGUAACAUCCACUUGAAUGCCAGGACCCAAGUUUCCCAGCAAAACAUUGCCCCGGGCAUCACACUGCCUCCGUUAGCUUGCCUUCUCCCCAUAGUGCAUCCUGGUGCCAUCUCUUCCCCAGGUAAAAGACGCACAUGCACCCGGACAUCCACAUGAUGUAAAAAAAAACAAACAAACAUGAUCCAUCAGACCAGGCCACCUUUUUCCAUCGCUCCAUGGUCCAGUUCUGAUGAUCAUGUGCCAGUUGUACACACUUUUCACGGCGGACAGGUGUCAGAAUGAGCACUUUGACCAGUCUGCGCCUAGACAGUCCAAUACGCAGCAAGUCCCACUGCAGUGUGUGCUCUGACACCUUUCUAUCAUAGCCAGAAUUAACUUGUCAGUGCUAAUUUGUGCUACAGUAGCUCUUCUGUGGGAUCGGACCAGACAGGCUAGCCUUCGCGCUACCCUAUGUGCGUCAUUGAGGCUCGGGUGUACAUAACCCUGUCACUGGUUCACCAGUUGUCCAUCCUUGGACCACACUUUCUAGGUACUAACCAGUGCAUACUGGUAACACCCCGCACAAGACCUGCUGUUCUGGAGAUGCUGUGACCCACUCGUCUAGCCGUCAGAAUUCGGUCCAUAUUAAAGUUGCUCGGGUCCUUAUGCUCACCCCUUUUUUCCUGCUUCCAACUCAUCAGUUUUGAGAAUCGACUAUUCACUUAUUGCCUAAUAUAGCCCACACCUCGACAGGUGCAACCGUAAUGAGAUAAUCAACAUUAUUCACCUCACCUGUCAGUGGGUUUUGAUGUUAUGACUUACCGGUGUACAUGGUUUUGAUGUGUGCAUGUAUAGAUAUGGUCUAUUGACUUUAAAUUGCAUUUUAGAGACACCGUUCAUGUGUCUCGAGAGAGUAUGUUAAAGAUCUUGACGACGGUGUAUUAAAGAACUUGACAUUGUUGACUACAGAUAAUGGGAGCACAAACGUAACCAGCCAAUCGUAGGCCGUACCUCUUAAUGGGACCAUGGAUGAGGACGCACCUCGGUGGAAAAGGUUUUUCCAGGGAAGGACGGGGCCACAGCAUCAUGAGCCAUUUUUAUUGUUGAGUAAAGAUGCGGCAGUGCCGAGAUUGUGACACCUCCUCCAGCAGAAACGGAUUAACCCAAGACAAGCAUGUUGCCAGGGUGAGGGAUGAGGGGGCCACAUCUCUGAAAUAAGCACUAGCACUCCUGGGAAAUCAAAGUCGGGCAGCCAGUGCUGGGGCGCCACAUGCCUACAAGACGCAACCAUAGUAAAUCACACAUCAUAGUCUUUAUCUGGAAAAUAUUUCCCCCGAACUUGCCACCUAAAUCACUCUAUUUCUCCAAAUGUGGGCAAAUAUGCACUCUCUGUCAUGCUUGUUCUCCCUUGCUCUCUGUCUGCUGUGUGCUGUUUCCCUUUUACAAUUGGAUUAUUUUAGGGGGGUUUUCCACAGAAGUAUACUGUAUAUUUCUGUAGUCGUGGUGUUUUUAAAGUGAAAACUGCAUUUUUCUGGUUCCCCAUGAGAACCAUAGCUCCCUAUAGUAUUUGUGUUUUCACCUUCCAUAUCAUUGUUGGGGGCGAAACGGAAUAUAAACAUACGGACAAACCCCAAAACGACGACACAUGGGGAAACUGUUCUUUGACUGACUGUUCUUUUAACAUACUUAACAAGCAGACUGAUGUUCUCGGUCAUACUCUGUACAUGCCCUCUGACCUUUAGGAUUCCUAAACAGGCAGAUCUCUAUUCCUGUUCUAAAAUGUUCAUCAUUCCUGGAAAUUGACAUCUCGGAUAAACUUCUGUCAGCGUUUAGUUCGUCUAGAUCCAGGACGUUUACGCGUUCUUGCCUGUGGACCUUUCGUUCGCGUGGUACGUCCGUCCAUUUCACGCGUGUCCAGUUGGCCUGUUGACACGUAUUCGAUGCGACGCGUGGUCCUCGAAAGAGGCCGCGACCUUCCGACGUGCGUAGGGAGUUCUGGAAGACGUGAGGCUAAACAUAAUCAAAAGUGAUGUCUCCAGUCCAUUUCUCGUCAACGGGCUCCUUUUGGAAAGGCACAUUUCACCAAGAUGCACCUAAUGAUGUGGAAAAUGCGGCUGAAUUGAUCGAGUUCUCUUCAGUUUUACUCACUGCUACAGGAAAGUCUAUGUGUAUUGUGGGAAUGCAUCAAACAAAUGAUUGAUUUUUUAUUUUCUUUUCACCAUAAGGUGAUUUCAAUCAGGAUGCACGUUACAAGCAGACAGUGCACCACCAGUGUACUGGUAAUACACAUGCCCAGUCAACAAAGUGAUUAGUGAAGGUGUAAUCAUGUAGUCAGGUCUUGCUGCAGUGUAGCAUGUGUAUGUGCAGCUUGUCUUGACAACAAGCACGUUUGACCUCGAUGACCAUCGGAACCAUUAAAUAGUACUGGCAGUCACGUCCAUGACGCACAACAGGUUCGGGUCAAGCAGGAGUUAAUGGCACUGAACGCGUCAUCAGUCAGCAGACUCGAAAUAUAUAUGGGACUCGGAAUACAUAUCCUAUAAAACAGGAGGCCACAUUUAUAUUCGGGAUCUGUCUGUCGUAUAUGUAUUACCGCUGCUUAAAAUGCCGUCUUUUUGCCAAUGUCAAAGUGCAAGUUUUCUGGUGCGAAAUACCACCCACGUGUAUGUGUAUUAGGGGGCGUAAGUGAAUACGAAUACAUCAUUGAUGGAAUUUUUUUAAAAAACGGUAUGGACAGUAAGGGGUGUGCUUUUUAUGCCGGGUUCUUUCGAGGAGUUGCGAGGUUUUUACUUCAAUGUAAACCGUUUUAAAACGUCAUGUAAAUGGUCUACGUUUAUAUAGCGACUUUUAUAAAUCCUUAAGGGUUCUGCAAAGCGCUUUACACUUGUUUCUCAUUCUCACACACACACUCGGACCAGGCCCUAGCCUGCCAUUGGGAGCAACUUGGGGUUCAGUGUCUUGCCCUGAAUGUGGCAUGUGGAGACAUGUGGGCCAGACCUGUGUUUAGUAGACGAGCCGCGCUACCACCUGAGCCACUUCUGCCCCACAGUUUGUGGGGAGGUUCAGCUAAAAGACCUGAAACUAGCCCGGGAUGUUCUCAGCGUUUUCAUGGGAAACGAGAUAACAUUGGUGCGCGUUUCUGAUUUGCGGUAUGUAUCCGCAAUGCGCAGACUUUACACAUGGAACCUGGCACCUUGUUCACACAAUAAAGAUCUGUCAUUGUUAUAACCAUCAGAGAUUCACGAUUUGGUUUUUACUUAUUUAUUUAUUUAUUUAUUUAUUUAUUUAUUUAGGUAGUGAUUUGCUCCAGCAGCCCAACCGAAACGCUGCCUUCCUGAGCGCCAAAAUAAAACCAUAUUCCUACCAUAUUUCUGUACAAACAAUAGAAAUGCUUUUAUUUAUAGUGCCGUUGCUCCAUAUAGCUCACUCAGACGGUGCACUCUGCUCAGAGCGGCAUAUCUCUGCUGGCUCUCCAAAAAUAAUCAAUGAAAUAUCUGUGUACACAUCGCGUGUAUUUUUAAUUUAAUUAUCCUUAAAUGAUCAUUUUCCAUCAUUAAAAGAAUAUCUUCCUGGAAGAUUUUCCGCCCGGGGCGGCUGUGGCUCAGGUGGUAGAGCGGGUCGUCCACUAAUCGUAGGGUUGGCGGUUCGAUUCCCGGCCCACGUGACUCCACAUGCCGAAGAGUCCUUGGGCAAGACACUGAACCCCAAGUUGCUCCCGAUGGCAAGUUAGCACCUUGCAUGGCAGCUCUGCUACCAUUGGUGUGUGAGUGUCUUUGUGAAUGGGUGAAUGAGAACCAGUGUAAAGCUCUUUGGAUAAAAGCGCUUUAUAAUAUAUAUGUAUAUACUUUAUAUAUAUAUGCAGACCAUUUACCGUGGCCAGACAAGUGUAUCUUUGAUUCGUCUGUCCAGAGCACAUUAUUCCAAAAGGCCUGGUCUUUGCCUGUAUGCUCAUUGGCAAACUAAACGGUCUUACAAAGGCUUUUUCCUGGCACGCUUCCCAUGCAGGUCAAAUUUGUGCAAUCUUGUAGGGUUCUUGGAGACUUCUGUUUGCAUCAGACGGGUUGAAUUUGCUGGGACGGCCAGUCCUGGAGAAAUUGGCAGUCUUCUGAAAUCUGCGCCACUUGUAGAUGAUUAUCCUUACAGCGGAAUGAUGUAUUUCAAAUCAUUUGGAGAUCUUUUUAAAUCCCUUGCCAGACUCAUAGGCAUCCAUAACUUUAAAAAAAAAAAAAAAAAAUUUAUUUAUUUUUUUUAACAGAACUUUUUAGAUCUUGGCAUGAUGACACCACACACCUCAAUACUAAAAGGAACACCAGACACUAUGAGAGGGGUAUAAAUAAGACCGGUUCCGCCUGCACUCCCUAAGCAGGUUCUAAUCACUGGCACUCAAUCUUAAUAUUACGGAUUUGAAGGCGUGAUAAAUGUAGGGGUGUACUUACUUUUUUCCAUGUGACCGGUCUGUUUUUUUGUUCAUUUAAACUGUGAAAAUUUUAUGUGUCAUUUGAUAGUGUAUCAUCUUUAUUAAUAGGCGCGGUUUCAAAGAGGAUCAAAUGUUUGCUUGUCCAAAUAUGUCAAAAAAACCCCCAGCAAUUUCCAUUUGUUCGCAUGACUGCAAUUAUCUAAUCACAUUGUAGCACAGGUCCACAUUCUCCAUGCUUGGGUGAUUUUUAAUUUUUCCCCCGCGCUUGGCCAAGACUCGUUGGCCCUUUCGUUCCAUUGUCGUAUUUCUGAUGAAUGAAAGUGUCGUGAAAAACGAAAGAGACCGAGUUUUUGCAAGCGUGCUUUUACACCCCGCAGCCGACAUUUUGGUUUGUUUAAUCAUGAGCCGUAUUAAACCACAUUAAAUGGCUAACACACCAAAGGUAUCUGAUUUGGACUCGGCAAAACGAGAUAAUGAGCAUGAAAGCACGUUCGUGGACAUGAAGUUGAUCGAAUGUCCGUCGUUAAAACUGAUCUAGCUUAAAUAAAACACUGAAAGCCUGAGUCAACUCUUUAGUCCACAGGUUUGGCUGGAAAAAUUCCAUAUUCGUGAGGUAAAGCAUUUCCUCGCCAUAGACAAGAUUCUGCUACGACGGUCAGUCGACGUAAGAAGAAAUGCAAGCCGCUCUCCCUAACAAACUUUCCACAUCUCUUGCCCGGUCUAUGUACGAAUCUCAGCCACGCGGCAUAUUGCUUUCCAGCUGCCGUCUGAACUUAGGAAGUUGGGUGGCACCGUGUCCCUGAGACAAGGGAAAUUAGUCACCCCUUAUCUUCCUCGAGCAGCCGUAUUCUCCCUGUAAUGUCAUCUCGGCUGGCGUGCGUUUUAAAGAUGGGGUGCGUGGUGCGAGACUCUCCGUUGUGAGGAUUUGCUCAUAUUUCCAUGUCGGGGCGAAUAGAACUUCUCGGAAGUAAUGGAAUCAAAUGCAAAUCGGUUGUUCUGGAUGGGGAAAUACCUCACCAGUAUACACAACGUGUAUAGCAAAAGUUUUUUUUUUUAUUACAGGGCGAUCUCAAGUAACCUUCGAGCAAGAUCGGAAUCCAGCGGUUUUAUUUCACCAAUGUUGUUACGUAAGGAUUAAGAGAACAAACCAUUUCGAAUGUACAGAGCACAUAAGGAGCGCUGCAUCCUUUUAAUGCGUUUUUAAUGUUUCCAUAAAUGAACUUCGGCGUACUGGCGGAAUCCAGAAGAGCAAAGAAACCGUCAGCUUGACGCUAAAUAUCCGAUGCACCACAUGGAAGUGAACUACUCCUAGCGGCAUGUUUAUUUAAACGGAAAAGAACAUUACGAGCAUAAACUUAAUCUGCCUUGCACCAUCGCAGCCAUAUGCCGCCAUGUAUUCUAUUUCCGUACAAGCUCUAGCACACCUACAACCAAUCCGCUCUGCCAGAACGUUCACCGCAGUAGGUCUUUAGUCAUCAGUCCCAAAUUAGUACCUUAAAUAAAAUAAAAGACCUUUCCUAAUCAAGCAUUUACCACCCUCAGCCUGGAAUACAGAUUUAGCAUGAUGGUGUAAAGGGGUAACACUGGCAUUUUGCUGUAGGUGUUGUCUAUCCACAGCAACGUUGUGCUGUUUGAAGACUAAAAAGAAUACCCCCAUGAGGUGUCGAGACAUAGUUACCUUUCUCUCUGAGCAAAUAAGCAGUAUCUCCAUCUAAUAAACUCACUGUGCCUGGGGGUAUUCCUUCAGUGGUCACCUGACUGACAUGAAAACAGAACUUCAUCAUGUGAUCUUUUAUGUCCUCAGAAUUAAGCAGUAUUCACAUCUUUUCAAACCUUUUUUCGGUCCAAAGUGUAGAUCCCCUACCAGAAUCCGUUCCCUCCCGAUCUGGGUCAGCCACUCUUCUAUUGUGACCCCGGCCACAUAUCCGUGUUUGACAGCAGCGAUACAGUCCAGCUGGCUCACCGACUGAAGAUCGACCUGAGCCUGGGGUCUUCAGAGCGGACCGGCUCUGUAGCAGGAAGUUCAAGUAUUAUGUCGCUCGCACGGUGACCUCGUCAGUAAGGCACCGCUGCAUGAGGGUCUGGCUGCGUUCUGUACAGUAUAUUGAUGGUAUGAAGUGGGAUUCCUAAUCAAAAGCUAGUCGGUUCUCACUUGGCAACUCCGGUUCAACGUUAUGCACGGUCCCGAUUCUUCGUAUCUGACUUAUUCCUCAGAAGUGCUUCUCCGAGCUGCCCAGAACAACCUUUUGUAAGCCCUGAACGUUCAUGACUUUUCAAAAACAGUGGGAAGAUUUUAGCUGUCCAUCAAAUAAGUGGGCAGGAAGGUAAAGAUUAUGGAUUAAUGGAAGAUAGCCCAAGUUUUAUUGCUGUCUGUUUAAAAAUAAAAUGGUGGCUCUGACUUAAUAGCCAUCAGUACAUACUACACGUGUUUUUCUUUGGGGCUUUCAGGGCUUGUUUGAAGCUAAAUAUUUGUAUGAUCUAAUAAGAGUCGCUGCUAUAACAAUUAGAGCCAAGUUGUUUAUUUCUGCCAAUCCCCACCCACCAGCCAGCUCUCCUCUACCAACUACCAGCCAGGGAAGGUGAAGGCCAGUGCAUGCUUCCGCCGAGACACACGAAGUCUAUAUUUCUCGAGCCGAUACUCAUGCUUCGUCAUGGUUUCCUUGGAGGAAAGCACCGUCCUCCCUCCUCCGUAUACAUCUCAGACAUACUCACAGAUGCCCAUGAUUGGUUAAUGUUACUACGGUUGACAAGGGAGAGCGAAUAUGCCAUCUAUCCCACCCAGAAACCAUGGCCAGCUAUGCUCCCUUUGGCUCCCGGUCCCGCAUGGCUGUGUGCCUGAUUUCCUAAUGACAGGGUGAAUACUUCUCUAUGACCCUCCCUACAAGGUGUUUUACCAAACAGUCCCUAAUAACAAACAGUUGUCAUGUUGAAGAAAAAAAAAGCGUUUCCCGUCAACUGUAACGAAAGUAGCAAUGACCAACAAUACGCCAUCCUUUCUCUCUUUUUUCCCUUUCUUUUUAAUAGUGGCCUAGAUUGUUUUUGAACAUAGUGUAGACUAAAUUUUAAGAGACAGAAACUGGCCAGUGAUAAAUGCUGCAUUAAUUAAGCAAAAAUGACUGAAUAAGGGAAAAAUGACUGACUGUCACAAAUCACUGACACUGGACACUCCUUCCAUAAUAAACGCUCUUACAGAAAGCUUCACUCUGUCAAUGACUGAUUCCCAGCUGUGCAUCCACACCUUGCUAUCGGCUAACACGUUUGCAUGCUGAAAUUUGGAGGCCGGCUUUCGAAAACGUUGCUCCCCGCCCCAUCCGUACUGUACCACUGCAUGAAUCGGGUUUAAUCUGAUGAGCCGGCAACUAUUUGAAAGUGGCCUGUCCUGAUUCACGAGCAGUCCAACUAACAAGAGGUAAAGCAGAUGAGAGUUUCAUGAUCAAACAAAGCAGACAGUUUAAUAAGCGGUUUUUUAAUCGUGCUAGACGCUCGACUCAGCGUUGUGGAGCAGUACCAAAGAGUUGCAUAAAUGCUUCGGGGAAGAAGUACAAAAGAAUUCAGGCUCCAUUUUCACAGCAGACUAUCUUCAUAUCAGUAAAGAUAAUAAUGGCUUACUGCCUCAUUAGCAGCAAGUGUAAUUGCUGAUGUAUUAUAUGCUGUCUUGUGUGUAGAUAUUGUGUGUCUGUUUACAAAGCACUUGCAGUUUUAUUUAGCAAAAUGUAUUUGUCGUUUGUCUUGGGAUGUACUUAAAUUUGAUACAAGAUUUGCUUGACUAAGCAUUUUUAUGCAUAUAUGUAUAAUAAUAAUAAUUAUAUAUAUAUAUACAUAUAUAAGAAACGUCCUCUCACGUUCGACUGCCUUUACUUCCAGCAAAUUUCUUAACGUGUGUAAAUAUUUGUAUUAGCAUAAUUAAAAAAAACAUUGAAGUACCGAGACACAACCUGAACAAGUUUCACAGCCGCGUGACGAACGGAAACGGACGAAUGAGUCCCUGAACAAAGUAGGGGUCAAGAUCAAAAGGAACGGUCAGUAUCUAUUGUGGAUAAAAUGUCCAAUAAAAUCAAAAACUGUCAGACACGGUGUCCGGCAGAAAUAUGUCCACGAAGCAGACGUUAGACGAAGGGCAUUCGCAAUUGCACACCUUAAUAAGGACUCUGCGCAAAAUGAGCUUUUUCACGUUUCUCUACCUUUUU
ensembl:lncRNA